GACGUAGGGCGCGAGCGUUGUCCGGAUUUAUUGGGCGUAAAGAGCUCGUAGGCGGUUUGUCGCGUCUGCCGUGAAAGUCCGGGGCUCAACUCCGGAUCUGCGGUCGAUACGGGCAGGCUAGAGUUCGGUAGGGGAGACUGGAAUUCCUGGUGUAGCGGUGAAAUGCGCAGAUAUCAGGAGGAACACCGGUGGCGAAGGCGGGUCUCUGGGCCGAUACUGACGCUGAGGAGCGAAAGCGUGGGGAGCGAACAGG
rnacentral:rRNA from 1 species